ACUCCAAGUUUUGUUAUUGUAUUCUCAUUGCAGAGCACUAUUGAAAAUGUCUUCCUAAACUGAAGGCUCCAUCCCAAGAUGUAUUCUACUGCCUUAGCCACUGUGAGCUGAGGGUGCUUAGCACCUCACAAGAUCAGGUUGUUCUCCAAAGAAGCGGUGUCACACCUCCAUCAAAAUCCUGGUGCUCAGCUCGAAGAGAAGUAUAAAAUCAGCAACCUCAUUGGAAAAGAAAUGAGUGCAAAUGAGUUGGAGAUGCUUUGGGAGUUUCUGCUGGCUGUUUCUACCUUCAAAGCCCCCUUAGCGCAGAAGAGGCCUUCAGCUUCUUUGUGUUCAACCCCCACCUUGUCAGUGCUGCACUGAAUGUUAAACAGCUGCCAUGAAGCUGGUUCAAAGUGAAGUUUGACAAGAGACUGAGACUUCCCAUGUCAUUUAAUACUUCUGCAGACCUCUGGCCUUCAUACAAGGACAGCUAAAUGCAGGGAGAAACUGGAUAUGGUGUCACUGAAUGUGAUGGAACAAUUGAUGCCAGACUUGAAGCAAAGUGGAGGAGGUGAAUGUCUUCACAGGCCUGUUCUUUAAUGCAUGGCUCUCUUAGGAAGAAAGAAUGUGACUGGAUCAGAGGCAAGAGACGAACAAACAAGCCAACACUGGUACAUCUCAGAUGAUUAAACAAGGAGAAAACACCCCCCACACACAUAUCCAGGCAAAAGCAAAACGAGCACAUCCACAGGAAAAGAGGACAGUGCAACAGCAGACUUCACAGAUAGCUACAAGCAACAGUAGCGAACGCACUUGGACAGAGGAAUGAGACACCACCAAGUCAGACAUUGCUGGUAAGGCUCACACCUCAACGGGAGUCAGCUGAGAGGAUGGGAUAGGGACAAGAGUGCUGAUAGGCCAAGAGAGAGCAGUACUGCUUGGGGGAUAUACCUUGCUAAUAUCAGGGUCUUGCAAAAUUCAAAACACAGUUGCCUCAUUUACCUCCUGCUUCUCUUGUGGGGACUUUCCAUCUUGUCUUGUUUCCUCCCUAAAGAGGAAACAGUUGGUUGUUGGGGGCAAUAGUCCUUUUUCAUACAACACGAGGGUUAAAUGCUGCAUGGGACUAGGGCUGCUCCUGUGCAGUGGGUUCUCACCACUGCAGCCUUAUUCAGCAUGAAAUGUUCGCCAGUCCCAGUAAUGGGCCGUAUUCUGAUCCCUGUUAUGUGGGAUCAAAUCUACAAUAGCUUCCUGGACUCAGAGAAAAAAGAGGCAACAAUCUGACCUUGUGUGUCUAUUAUGCUGGCUUCCUGACAUCACCCUUGCACAGAAGAUCCACCAAAUCUCUUGGAUCAGAAAUAGAGCCUGGCCUUACUGCACAGGAAGGAAUUUUUGAUCUUUGUCUAUUAAAGAUGAGAACCAAGGGUCGAGUCAGUUCCCCGAUUCCAUUGAUUUAGUGUGUCCUGGGACAAACCCUGCACUAUAAGGGUAUUUCUGGUCUCCAUGGAUUUGAGACUAGCGAAUCACUCCCAGUAAAUUUAAUUGCACUGAGUUCAUAAUUGGUUUUAUUUUUUGACUAAGUGUAAGCAAAAGACAGGCUCACAGAGUUAUAGCUGCAGCCAUAGCAGAUUAAAAAAAAAAAAUCCUGUUGCUUAAACCAUGGAAAUACUCAUCAUGAAUGGGUUUUUUUUUCCUCUCUCUCUCUUUCUUCCAGACCCUCAUAUCCUUUUCCUGAAAUUCUGGUGUGGCUCACACUUGAUCAGCACGAGCCAUCAUUUCACUCUCUCAGUUGUAAAUUUAACAUUUAAUGAUAAUUCAGCUAAGGUGAGUUGCUAGAGCAGGGCAGAGAGCAGGCUUUCAAUCCAGUCUGAGUUUAGAUCACUGCUUUAAUUCUCUCCUGUGAGAGGCACGACGUGGAAAUACUAUUUAAGGUGCAUUUUUUUUCCCACAGCUGGUUCCAAGGACUCAGUAUUUGCCCUUAGCAUGAUGGAAUUUUCUCCCCUGCAAAAAGUUGUCCCAUCUUCAACUCAGAGCUGAAGACAUGUCUAUGACAUGCACCUAUUUUAUAAUGCAGCACCUAUUCUUCUCUGUCAGUUAAGCACGUGCCAUCACACAAAGGCAAAUGCAACGGAUCUUUAUCUGACACUGAAUAAGUAGCAGUCCGCUGAAGUGAGUGUCUUAUGCCAGUUGAGGAUGAGUCCAUGUGAUCAAAUGCACAAAGCUCCUCCAGUGAGGGAGGGUGCAAAGCCUUGUGUCUUGGAAAAGACCUGCUAAAGGAAAAGUCAUUCUUCAGAUGCUAAAAGCAGGUUGCAGAUAGUACAACCAUACGAAGCCCUGAAUGACAGACAUUGAAGCAGACAGUCACAAGCAUAGACUGAGCAAUUAUUUAGACCCAGACAGAAACUUAGGCUCCAAGACAAGAGGCACUAUGGAACAGCAAAGAUAGGAAUGGUGAAGAAGAGGUAUGCUUGUCAGCUUUAGGGACUGUUUAUAACCGAACUGAUGCUGGGCAUAGGAAACAAAUAAUGAAAAGCAAGACAGAAGCUGCGGAAGGGAGGAAAGGGGGCAGGGGAGGGUGUUAUAGUGUCCUUUUCCCUACACAGACAUUGCAAUCAAACAAUAGGAGGCUAUUGACAGAGUCAAGGAAUUCACAGAAGGAGAUAGUCCCUUUCUGGUAACAUUCAUCAUCUGUUUGGUUUGGAUGUUUCUUUCAUUUAAACAUAAGCCCACUCAUUACAAAAUGAGGAAUGAAGGAGAAAUUUGAAGGCUAACCCCUUAAAUUCUUCGGGCUAGAUUCUCCCUGCCUUACUCUUCACUGAAUAUAUAUUAAAAAAAAAUCUCUCUCUCCCCGCUGCAACCGGCAAGGCUACUGCUGCCCACCAUGUGCCAAAGCAAUGCAACUUGGGCAUAUUUGCUGCAUUUCCCCAGCAGAACAGGACUGCUACAGGGAUCAGAUACCACUGCACAGAUUGAUCAGAGGCACAAGGGCUUCAUCAAGCAAUCCUCCUUCAGGCAACUCUGACAAGAAAUUAAGGACAUCUGUGGAUGUGGAAGCUGAUUUCAAGACACUUGACCUGCACCUAAGCUGCAACCAUGGGAAAGCAAGGCCAAACCAUGUUAGAGCAUCUCCAUUCAAUUCAGUCCAUUAUUGGACCAUUUGACUCUGGAGGUGAUUUUGGCUUCAGGCCCACAGUCUCUCUGUGUCCCUGAAGCCAAGCCCAGCUGGCUGCUGAGGUGCUCUUUGAGCUCAGAGAAGUAAUAGAAGGAGAGAAGUGACUCUUGAAGUGUAGGAAGUCUGAGACUGUUAAUAGGACCUUCUCACUGAGCUGCCAGUGUUUCUGGGGAGGUAUUAGCCAUGACUUCAGGUUCACCGUCUAAGAAGGGGAAGAGCAGUUCCUUUCCUCCCAAGGGAGGUGUAGGCAGUGUUUGUGCAGCAGACGGGUAUGGUCAGGGUACAAGUCAGAUCUAACUCCUCUUGACUCAAUGUGCUUCUCCCUGUGUAUCAGGAGCAACUACACUGAAGCUAAUGGAUCAGAUCCUCUUCCUUAGUAUUAGUGAAGAAUAGUAGAGUGAGGUACCACCAGCAUAAAAGUGGUGUAAACCAGGCAGCACCAGCCCUGGUAAAUGGCUGAUACUUUGUGGUACAACGGUACCCCUGGUACUGAGAUUUGUUCAUUCACUUAAGGCAGGUUUCAGUGUAUAGCAACACAAAGAACAAAUCAAUUCUUUAUUUCCAGGACUUCCUUCCCCCACUGUGGCUCCAAAAACACAGACCAAAGCAAAAGGAGAUACUGUGCUUUCACAACUAGCUGACAGGAGUCCCCAUCCAAACCUCUAACCAGUCAAGCCAUCCUAACAAUGGAGGGAACAGAGCGGAGCAAAACCAAACCAAAGGACCAAAGAAGUAGGGGACUUCUAGCUCUCAGGUGAGGAACGCCACAUCUUCUGCACGUGGUCCCACCUCUGCACCCUUGGUCAACACUCCCAGAGAGUAGCUGGAUGUGCAGGACAGCCAUGAAUGCCACAAAAAAAGGGUUUGAAAGUAUAAUUCAAAUCUCUCUUCUCUUUUUUGUUUUUUUUUUUUGUUCGUUUGUUUGCUUUUUACAUAUAUACACAAGUCUGACAAUAAAAUGUGGAACACAG